ensembl:lncRNA
UUAUGGGAAUUGUAGCAACGCAUGGACCGCACAGAAACGGGGAAGCAAUACAAAACAAAACCAUGUUUACUAAACGGCUUUAACUGUUCAUGAACUUCGGGUCUGUUGGAGCUCAGAUUAAUAGAGGGCAAUUGUGUUUUAAAAGCCUCUUUCUAAAAGUGCUUAGCAAUUAUCAGUCACCUUUCAUCGAAAGAGUUCAAAGCCACUUUGCUGGUUUUAAUUCAUUCGGCUUUGCAGUAGCCUGGUGAUAUAAUUAGGUCUUAAUGUGCCGUGUCCAUUGAAAGGAAAAUGGCCAAGUUUUCUGGCCUUGCCAGUAAAAUGUCCAUUUCUUAUCCUAUGCUCUUGACUUAACUGAUCAAGAAAAACUAGGGGACUAGCUUACUAGUUCUAUGACUGUGAACCAAACCUGUUAUUGGGCUGAGUUUCCCUCUCCUCCUAGUAAAGAAGAAAGAGCCCUGGGUCUAAAGAUAAAGGAUCUGAGUUCAAAUCCCAGCUCUUCUCCUUAUAGAUGUGUGACCUUGGGUAAGUUACUUAACCUCUCAUUAUCUAGUUCUUUCUCUUUCUCCCUUCCUCCUUUCCUCCUUUCUUUUUUUUCUUUCCUCCCUUCCUCCUUUCCUUCUCUUCCUUCCCUCCUUCCCUACCUUCCCUCCUUUCUUUCUUUCUUCAUCUUUCUUUCUUUCUUUCUUUCUUUCUUUCUUUCUUUCUUUCUUUCUUUCUUUCUUUCUCCUAUUCUUUCUCUCUUUCUUUCGUUCUUUCUUUCUUCCUUUCCUUCCUUUCCUUCCUUCCUUCCUUCCUUCCUUCCUUCCUUCCUCCUUCCUUCCUUCCUUCCUUCCUUCCUUCUCUUUCUUUCCUUCUUUCUUUCUUUCUUUCUUCCUUCCUUUCUUUCUUUCUUUCUUUCUUUCUUUCUUUCUUUCUUUCUUUCUUUCUUUCUUUCUUUCUUUCUUUCUUUCUUUCUUUCUUUCUUUCUUUCUUUCUUUCUUUCUUUCUUUCUUUCUUUCUUUCUUUCUUUCCUUCCUUCCUCCCUUCCUCCCUCCCUUCCUUCCUUCCUUCCUUCCUUCCUUCCUUCCUUCCUUCCUUCUCUUUCUUUCUUUCUUUCUCUUUCUUUCUUUCUUUCUUUCUUUCUUUCUUUCUUUCUUUCUUUCUUUCUUUCUUUCUUUCUUUCUUUCUUUCUUUCUUUCUUUCUUUCUUUCUUUCUUUCUUUCUUUCUUUCUUUCUUUCUUUCUUUCUUUCUUUCUUUCUUUCUUUCUUUCUUUCCUGACUCUCUGUCUUAGUUACAACUCUAGGACCAAAUACAAACCCAGACCCUCCUGUCUCUUGGUUUGGUCUCUUUUCACUAUACCAUCUAACCGCCCCUCUAUAUAGUUCUUCUUAAAGUCCAAUUCAACAAAUAUUUAUUAGGCACUAUUAUAUAAAUGGUGCUGAGAUUUAAAUUUUUGGCUUGAGAUUACUUUUUAAAAAAAUAAUUCCAGAUGCUUAGGUCAAGAUGGAGAUGUCUGAGAUACUGCAAAACCUUGGAAAUUACCACUACAUCUGUGCAUUUUGACUUCCUGACAUUUUAACUUGGGUCAAAAUACAAAGUGUGCAUGGGGAUAAGCAUAGCUCUGGGUUAAAACAUUACUCCUGCUUUUACAACUAUCACUCUAACGGAGGCUUUGGUGGGAUCCGGUGUCCUGGGAAAGGGUUUAUAUGACUGUCUGAUGAGUCCCAGCUUGCUCAUUACAAAAGUCAACCCACUGAUGCUUACUUGACACAAUGCUCAGCAUGACAGCUGGGGUCUAUCAAGCCACCACUCAAGUUAAGAUCCAGAGGUGGUUUGGAGCAGAAAUAAUAGGCCACCUUGGUUUUUUCAAGAGUUAUGGUUUAUCUCUGAGCCUGGAUCCAGGCUAGAACUGUGAGAGGGAGAUGACAGAUCCCCUGGGUGGAAGGAAUGUUUUGAAUGCCUCAGCAGGUCCUCUACAGGAAAAAAGGAGGACGAGGACAGCAGACACUUUGCUUCCGGAAGGGCUGAGGAGUUUGGAAGGAUCAGCAGAAUGUGCAGAAGAGAAUAGAACAAAGCCAGGCUUCUCUGGGCCUGGCCACAUGCUGUGUGUGCUUAGAUUUCAAAGUAGAUGAACUCAGGGCUUUGAGGUCCAGUGCCAGUCAUUUCUGACCUGGUACCAUUUUUCUUUUUUUUUCUUUCUUUUUUGGCAGGUUUCUGAGAUGAGCAGGUGAAGUGGUCAACUCCCACAUCUGCUUUCCACUCAAUUCGGUGGCAUCAGAUGAAUCUCUCCUGAGCACUCAGCCCUGUGCUAGCUGGAUCAGUGAAAGUUGCAAAAGAAGUGUCUGGCAUUUCCCCUGUUGUCGUGGAGCCCAUCCUUUGUUAGCAGAGUCCUAGAAAUAAGACAUCUGACCAUGAAAUAAAUAAUGACAUUAAUCCA